rnacentral:rRNA from 1 species
UACAGAGGGUGCGAGCGUUGUCCGGAAUUACUGGGCGUAAAGCGUGCGCAGGCGGUUGUGCAAGGCAGAUGUGAAAUCCCCGGGCUUAACCUGGGAACUGCACUUGAAACUACGAUGCUGGAGUAUGGCAGAGGGAGGUGGAAUUCCACGUGUAGCGGUGAAAUGCGUAGAGAUGUGGAGGAACACCGAUGGCGAAGGCAGCCUCCUGGGCCAAUACUGACGCUCAUGCACGAAAGCGUGGGGAGCAAACAGG